GCAGCUCGUGCGGAGCAUUCUCGUAGUGGUGGGGCGCAUCGGUCACGUGGGGUAGGUCCCCGCGGGAAUAGGCUGAUGCGCGCAGACAGGUCCCGAAUGGGGCCUUUUUUAUUGCCCGAAA
rnacentral:sRNA from 1 species